GUGCUCGCUUCGGCAGCACGUAUACUAAAAUUGGAACGAUACAGAGAAGAUUAGCAUGGCCCCUGUGCAAGGAUGACACGCGAAUUCGUGAAGUGUUCCAUUAUUCA
ensembl:snRNA U6 U6 spliceosomal RNA